rnacentral:rRNA from 1 species
AGGGAGGAAAGGUNNUGGUUUAAUACNCCNUUGCUGUGACGUUACCUACAGAAGAAGGACCGNNANNCUUCGUGCCAGCAGCCGCGGUAAUACGAGGGGUCCAAGCGUUAAUCGGAAUUACUGGGCGUAAAGCGUACGCAGGCGGNUCGUUAAGCCAGAUGUGAAAUCCCCGGGCUCAACCUGGGAAUUGCAUUUGGAACUGGUGAACUAGAGUCUUGUAGAGGGGGGUAGAAUUUCAGGUGUAGCGGUGAAAUGCGUAGAGAUCUGAAGGAAUACCGGUGGCGAAGGCGGCCCCCUGGACAAANACUGACGCUCAUGUACGAAAGCGUGGGGAGCAAACAGGAUUAGAUACCCUGGUAG